GAAGAGCUUUAGUGACUGCUGGA
rnacentral:siRNA from 1 species